rnacentral:rRNA from 1 species
UGAGUAACCUGCCCUUAACUCUGGGAUAAGCCUGGGAAACUGGGUCUAAUACCGGAUAUGACUCCUCAUCGCAUGGUGGGGGGUGGAAAGCUUUAUUGUGGUUUUGGAUGGACUCGCGGCCUAUCAGCUUGUUGGUGAGGUAAUGGCCUACCAAGGCGACGACGGGUAGCCGGCCUGAGAGGGCGACCGGCCACACUGGGACUGAGACACGGCCCAGACUCCUACGGGAGGCAG